CGGAAGUAAAGUCGUAACAAGGUUUCCGUAGGUGAACCUGCGGAAGGAUCAUUAAAAAUUGGAACUCCAUUGGUGAGUUCAUUAAUAAUCCCUACCCUUUGUGAUUUGUUUGUUUGAAUAAUUUUUUUUCCAAAAAAAAUUAUUGAAUGUCUUUCCUUGUUUUGGUGGAGCUUGUAAAGUGAAACCAGGCAGGGGAAUGGCAAACAAUAAUUAUUUUGAAAAAGACCUUUUUUUAAAAUUAAACUUUUUGUAUUCAUUUGUCUAAAAUUAAUUUUAUAAUAUAAAAACAACUUUUGACAAUGGAUCUCUUGGUUCUCGCAACGAUGAAGAACGCAGCAAAAUGCGAUAAGUAGUGUGAAUUGCAGAAUACGUGAAUCAUCGAAUCUUCGAACGCAUAUUGCACUUUUUUAGUUUACUAAAAAAGUAUGUCUGUUUGAGUAUCAGUAAAAUAUUCUCAUAAAAACAUUGUUUUUUUUAUGGUUAUGAGUGUUUUACAACGAUAACAAGUUGUUUCACUUUAAAUUCUUUGUUAUCAAAAAAAUCAUUAAAAGCUAAUUUUAAAGAUUUUUUAAAAUUGGAUAAAAUUUUCCCGUAAAAAGGAAUAACCUAAACAAUUUUAAAAAAUUAAAAUUGGUUUGAUUUUUUUUGAAACCCAAAGGAAAAAAAACGAAAUUAACUUGAUCUCAAAUCAGAUAAGAGUACCCGCUGAACUUAAGCAUAUCAAUAAGCGGAGGAAAAGAAACUAACUAGGAUUCCCUCAGUAACGGCGAGUGAAGCGGGAAGAGCUCAAAUUUGAAAUCUUCAAGGUUUACCUUGACGAAUUGUAGUUUAAAGAAGUGUUUUCUGUUGGAGUUUUGGUAAAAGUUCUUUGGAAAAGGACAUCAUAGAGGGUGAGAAUCCCGUAUUUGACCAUUAUCUCCAGCUUUGUGAUACACUUUCAAAGAGUCGGAUUGUUUGGGAAUGCAGUCCAAAAUGGGUGGUAAAUUUCAUCUAAAGCUAAAUACUGGCGAGAGACCGAUAGCGAACAAGUACCGUGAGGGAAAGAUGAAAAGAACUUUGAAAAGAGAGUUAAACAGUACGUGAAAUUGUCAAAGGGAAGCGUUUGACACCAGUGUUGUUUUCUCGAAAAUCAAUUAAAAAAGGCCGGAUUUUGUGUUGUAUUGACUUUAUCAGCUUUCUGCACUCUUUUCUUGUCUUUUUUAAUGCACUUUUCGUUUAACAAGUCAACAUCAAUUUCUUUUGUUGUAAAAGGGUCAUUGGAAGGUGACUUUCUUUUCGGAGAAGUGUUUAUAGCCUUUGGCCUCUGCAAUCGGAGAGAUUGAGGUCUGCAGCGUAGAUCCUUCGGGGUUAGAUACAUUGUGCUAAGUUAUAGCCUUUCAUAGACAACUUGUUGACUAUGAUCAGUCAUGUAGCUUACUCGCUUAUGCUAUUUUACCUACGCUUAGGAUGUUGAG
rnacentral:misc_RNA from 1 species